GGGUGGAAGAGGUCUUCAGUGACCCCAGUUAAGCCUCAGCGACUGGGUCUGAAAGUCUCCACGGUCCCUGAUAGAAGAUUGGAAGUGGACCUGGUGGAGGUACUCAGUUGUAGAAGCUUUAGUUGCAGAACGUAAAUUGGAUCCACGGGAAAAGCUUUUUUCCUUACUUUGUAAAUGCAUUGUAACGCAAAUCCUCCAUUCAGUUUCCUUUUACAUGACCAAGGAAUACUCACCUUAGAUAAAGAAAGAGAGGAUGUUAUGGCAUUCUGACAACCUGCAUUAGACCCUUAUAAGUCCUACCCAUGUGUUGAUAUUAAAAUGACCCCAUCGGUGACAUGGCCGAUUAGUCUCCAGUGGCCGUGGGGGCAGGGAAAGUUGAGUUCUACUCGUGGGCAGUGACAUCUUUUCCCGGCAGCUCCUUUUGCUUCAGUGCCCGAGAAUACAGCAUUGAAGUCUAUGGAGGAUCCAAAGAGAUCCUCCAUAGACAGAGUCAUUUCCCAGAGUCAUUUCAGCUGUAGGGGUUAACACUGCUUGACGGCAGUAGUUCCACUCAAGAAGUGCUAGGAAUACCAAAAAUAUUGAGACAAAGUAGUGCCUACUUUGUCUCAGUUUCUCUCUUGACUGGGAUUAAAUUUCAGUAAAAUUCGAACACUGUCAAAAUUAGUAUUUCAUAAAGAUUUUAUCUUUACGAAAUAUUCAUUUUGGGUGGGUGGGUGUCAGCGACUCUUUAAAGAGUUACCCCAAUCACCAUGACCACUUCAGCAAUUUGAGUCUGGAGUCUGUGUGUGCCGUGUUUCAAGCAACAUUAUAGCGAGCCCAGCACGCCCAUUCUGUGCAAAAUUGUUAUCUGAUGCAGUAUGCACAACAUACUGGUGCCAGACAGCUUAUGGUGGCAUGCCACCCCUGCCCCCCUCCUCAGUCUGGCCUUCAGGACAUCCCUCCCUCUUCAUUGAGGUGAAGUGAUG